rnacentral:rRNA from 1 species
AGCAGCCGCGGUAAUUCCAGCUCCAAUAGCGUAUAUUAAAGUUGUUGCAGUUAAAAAGCUCGUAGUUGAAUUUCGGGGUUAGUAGGUUGGUCAUGCCUCUGGUAUGCACUGGCCUCACUGAUUCCUCCUUCCUGAUGAGCCGUAAUGCCAUUAAUUUGGUGUUGCGGGGAAUUUGGACUGUUACUUUGAAAAAAUUAGAGUGUUUAAAGCAGGCUCACGCUUGAAUACAUUAGCAUGGAAUAAUGAAAUAGGACGUUUGAUUCUAUUUUGUUGGUUUCUAGGAUCGACGUAAUGAUUAAUAGGGAUAGUUGGGGGCAUUAGUAUUCAAUUGUCAGAGGCGAAAUUCUUGGAUUUAUUGAAGACUAACUACUGCGAAAGCAUUUGCCAAGGAUGUUUUCAUUAAUCAAGAACGAAAGUUAGGGGAUCGAAGACGAUCAGAUACCGUCGUAGUCUUAACCAUAAACUAUGCCGACUAGGGAUCGGAUGAUGUUAAUUUUUAAUGA